rnacentral:rRNA from 1 species
AAUGAACGCUAGCGGCAGGCCUAACACAUGCAAGUCGAGGGGUAACUAGAGUGAUAGCAAUAUUACUUUGGCUAGACCGGCGCACGGGUGCGUAACACGUAUGCAACCUACCUUAUACUGGGGAAUAACUUCGAGAAAUCGGCGCUAAUACCCCAUAACAUUGCGAAGAGGCAUCUCUUUGCAAUUAAAGCUCCGGCGGUAUAAGAUGGGCAUGCGUCCAAUUAGCUAGUUGGGGAGGUAACGGCUCACCAAGGCUACGAUUGGUAGGGGUUCUGAGAGGAUGAUCCCCCACACUGGUACUGAGACACGGACCAGACUCCUACGGGAGGCAGCAGUGAGGAAUAUUGCGCAAUGGACGAAAGUCUGACGCAGCCAUGCCGCGUGCAGGAUGACGGCCCUAUGGGUUGUAAACUGCUUUUGUACGGGAAUAAACCCUUCUACGUGUAGGAGGCUGAAGGUACCGUAAGAAUAAGCACCAGCUAACUCCGUGCCAGCAGCCGCCGCAGUAA